rnacentral:rRNA from 1 species
GCAGUAGCCGCGGGAAUACGGAGGGUGCAAGCGUUAAUCGGAAUUACUGGGCGUAAAGCGCACGCAGGCGGUCUGACAAGUCAGAUGUGAAAUCCCCGGGCUUAACCUGGGAACUGCAUUUGAAACUGUCAGGCUGGAGUCUUGUAGAGGGGGGUGGAAUUCCAGGUGUAGCGGUGAAAUGCGUAGAGAUCUGGAGGAAUACCGGUGGCGAAGGCGGCCCCCUGGACAAAGACUGACGCUCAGGUGCGAAAGCGUGGGGAGCAUACAGGAUUAGAUACCCCGGUAGUCCCUGUCUCUUAUAC